AAUCCAGAGUCACCUUGGCAACUGAGAAGAUGUAGCAUUGAGUACAGUCCGUAAGAAGACCUAUACAUCCAGGUUGCCUGUACUUGCAGAGAAUGCAAGCUUUCAAGGCCUCAAGCAGAAGUAACAAAAGGUCUGGGGAUGUAGCUUAGCAGUAGAGGGCUGGCCUAGAACGUACAAGGUCCUGGAUUCGACACCAGGACCACAAACAAUGAAGUAAAGAAACUUUACAAGGCAGUAAGAUUGCACCUCUGGAUUCUAACCUCUGUCUUCUGACCUAAGGAGGCUGUGGAUGUGUUCUCAUCCAGAGUGAACCAUUCAGUACCAUACUGUGGGCUGAGCACCUGUCUUCUCCACGGUCCUGACCUAGUUAUUCUUUAUUACCUCAUUAGUACCUAGAUGCUGUCAAGUGUAUACAUUUUAUUUUUAAUCCAGCCUUUCUAUUAACAGUUAUCCUCAGGGGAGAGGUAGUUCAAAUCACCAUGUGUAUCAUUUCUGGAAGCAGAAAUGUGUCCUUUCUGCAAGUGACCAGUCUUUGUAUCUGCUUCCCUCUCUAUAUUCCUACCACUGCUUCUCCACUAAACUACGAAGGAAACACAGGGCACUUCUCAUUCACUUGGCACAGCAGGUGGCAUAUGGCAUGGGGUUUCCUUUCAACUUUCUUCACUCUGCCUCAAAGCAACAUCCUUCCUGACCUGCCCAGUCUUCCUCUUCCAAUCUGAACUGGCUGCUUCCUAUGCUCAAGCGCAAUUUCUUUGAAAUGGUUUUGCCAUUUUUCUGGAUGUCCCAUGUUGGAAUCCAGGUUCCCUGAAGUCCUAAGUCUUUUUUCUUAGUGUACACCUUGCCCCAGGGCAGCACAUGGGCUCCAAUAACUUAAGGAGAAGCAGUACAGGAUAUCAAAAGCUCAUAAAUAUAUAAUACAAGAAUGAAAAUAAGCAUGUUUCAAACUUAAGAAAGAUACAAGCAAUCUACUAUUUUGCUCAAGGAUAACCACCACCUUGCACUUGUACUAAAGCAGUACUUGGAGGAGGUCCUUGGAGGUACAGGAGAGAGGUGAAUGAGGACUAGUGCAGUCAGAAGCUAGCUGCUUGUCAAGGCCAGUGUGUCUCCGACAUGAGGACUUGAUAAUGGCUACUUCUUGUCCAGCAACACUUGUGCUCUCUGAAGGAGUACAAGCCUCAACAACAGCGUCAAGAACUGAGCCCUGACCUGAGUAUUUGUGUUCAUAUGUGAAGCCCUAACUCCAUAUGAUGCCUGGGCCUGAAGGACAAUGAAGUCCAAAUGAGGUCACAAGGGAGAGUCCUCAUGACGCGAACAGUGCCCCAAGAGGAUAGAGGACCUCUGUCACCAGAGGACAGAGCAGGAAGGGGACACCCACCAGACACUUGAACCUUAGAUAACUCCCAGCCUCCAGACUGUGAAAAGACAUUCUUGUUGUUUUAAGUCCCCCAGUCUCCAACAUUUUAUGGCUCCCUGAGCUUGGCCUGACAGUUUGCCUGAGAGGAAACUGCAGGGCACUCUGCUCCUCCAGGUGGCAGAGCCCGUGAUGUUUUCAUGGCUUCCUGUAUCAGAAGAAGAGCAGUUCACAGAGGAGCCUGUUCGCCAAGCCAUGAGCAGCCACUGGAACCCCAAAGCAAUGAUUAAGACCUCAGCUAGUCCUUUCUCCAGCUCCUCUUAAGUCUAAGAUUUGGUCCUUGGCCUGUAAGAGACACGGAAAUUUUACUGACCUUUCAGCUAUUAGCCAUGGGUUGAAGGAGCCUACAGCCUCAUGAGAUAUGAUCCGUAGGAACUGCUCAAAUUGGCUACAGUAAUCACCAAUGCUGUGCUGCAUCCCUGGAGGGACGAAGAGGGGAGUUCGGCCUUCUUUCUGAUGCAGAUCUUCUCCGACGGAGGAAAAGGGGGCCUCUCUUUUCUCUGGUUCCUCCUCUGUUCCCACACUUUCAUCCAGUGAGCUGAGAACACACAAGAAAGAUGGAGGCAUCCAAAUAUUGUGUGCCCGCGGCCUCAGUGGCCAGAAGAGAGAUCCAGAUCCCCAGGAACUGGAGUUACAGCCUACUGUCAGCCAUCAUGUGGGUGUUGUGAACUGAAUGAACCCAGGUACUCUUCAAGAACAACAAUGCUCUUAACCACUGAGCCAUCUCUCCAGCGCCUUAGCUUUAUCUGAAUAGCCCCAAACUAGAAGACAACAAAUAAAAAUCCACCAGCAAACACGCAAAUUAGAUGUGGUGUCUACAAUAGGCAAAGACAGGCCUGACUACAGGAGGAAAGGCAGCGGCUGAUCACAGAAACAGACCCUGGAUAACAAGGCCAUGACUGGGGAAUGGAGGCAGCCGUACAAACUGGGAGAAUUGCACGGAAUAGACCCUCAUCUGGAGCAUCCAGAGGAACCAGCACCUUCACUUCUUUUUAGGACUCAUUUCCAGCCUUCUGAUCUCUCCAGCUAUAAGAGGAUAAAUCUGUGUUCUGAUUCAGUAAUUUGUGGGUGAGGAGUGUUCUAAGCUCCUAUUUUCAACAGGAAAUAAGCAACAUUAGACCAUAACAUGCUAUGUUGACUGGAAGGGUCUAGACAAAAAACACAUUCUCCAGCAAGAGCUUGUACUUACUCGAACCUCUAGAUUAGUCAACAUGGCUGAAAAGCACAGUGUUGCCUAAAGUUAGGGCACUGACUGGGAAGGAGAUAGGGGAAGUUUCUGCAGCGAUGGUGUGUGCGACAUCUAGACAGGAGUUUGGGUAAGAAACAGAUUUGUCAAAACUCCUCAAAUGAUGUGGUUAAGAUCUGUGUGUUACAUGCAAUUUUUUUCUAGUUAGUAAA